rnacentral:rRNA from 1 species
AUUGAACGCUGGCGGAAUGCUUUACACAUGCAAGUCGAACGGCAGCACGGGGCAACCUGGUGGCGAGUGGCGAACGGGUGAGUAAUACAUCGGAACGUGCCCAAUCGUGGGGGGAUAACGUAGCGAAAGUUACGCUAAUACCGCAUACGAUCUACGGAUGAAAGCGGGGGAUCGCAAGACCUCGCGCGAGUGGAGCGGCCGAUGUCAGAUUAGGUAGUUGGUGGGGUAAAGGCUCACCAAGCCAACGAUCUGUAGCUGGUCUGAGAGGACGACCAGCCACACUGGAACUGAGACACGGUCCAGACUCCUACGGGAGGCAGCAGUGGGGAAUUUUGGACAAUGGGCGCAAGCCUGAUCCAGCCAUUCCGCGUGCAGGAAGACAGCCCUAUGGGUUGUAAACUGCUUUUAUAUGGGAGCAAUAAGGUCUACGUGUAGACUGAUGAGAGUACCAUAUGAAUAAGCAUCGGCUAACUCCGUG